UACGGAGGGUGCUAGCGUUGUUCGGAAUUACUGGGCGUAAAGCGUGCGCAGGCGGCUGCUCAAGUCAGGGGUGAAAGCCCAGAGCUCAACUCUGGAAUUGCCUUUGAGACUGAGUGGCUUGAGUACGGGAGAGGUGAGUGGAAUUCCCAGUGUAGAGGUGAAAUUCGUAGAUAUUGGGAAGAACACCGGUGGCGAAGGCGGCUCACUGGCCCGUAACUGACGCUCAUGCACGACAGCGUGGGGAUCAAACAGG
rnacentral:rRNA from 1 species